rnacentral:rRNA from 1 species
UGGGGGAUUUUGCACAAUGGGCGCAAGCCUGAUGCAGCGACGCCGCGUGAGGGAUGAAGGCCUUCGGGUUGUAAACCUCUUUCGCUGGGUUGAAAGGCCAUGCUUUGGGUGUGGUUGAUUUGAACUGGUAAAGAAGUACCGGCUAACUACGUGCCAGCAGCCGCGGUAAUACGUAGGGUACUAGCGUUGUCCGGAUUUAUUGGGCGUAAAGGGCUUGUAGGUGGUUUGUCGCGUCUGUCGCGAAAUCCUGUGGCUUAACCAUGGGCUUGCGGUGGGUACGGGCAGGCUUGAGUGCGGUAGGGGAGACUGGAAUUCCUGGUGUAGCGGUGGAAUGCGCAGAUAUCAGGAGGAACACCGGUGGCGAAGGCGGGUCUCUGGGCCGUUACUGACACUGAGGAGCGAAAGCGUGGGGAGCGAACAGG